AAAAAAUAUAAUUAAACAUAUAUAGCCUAAUAUUUUUAACUAAAAAUAAAUUAAAAAUAUAUACAAUUGCAUAUCCUACCACACAGUGGCGGAUCUAUUAAGCACCUCUUCUCGCUAGAAAAAUCAUUGUAUGUACUUCAAAUUGCCCAUUUGCUUAGCUGGUGGUGGUGCACUCCAGGUGUAUAGAUUACCUUAUUUCCAUUUUAGCAUUUAAGUAAAUGUCUUUGUUCUUUUACUUUCAUUUAUUUUUAUAUUACUCCAUUUGCUUAAUUUUACAAUGUAAAUAAGGAAGUAUCCCCCAUUUGAAUUCAAAUAAAA
rnacentral:lncRNA from 1 species